rnacentral:rRNA from 1 species
CCUACGGGAGGCUGCAGUGAGGAAUAUUGGUCAAUGGGCGCGAGCCUGAACCAGCCAAGUAGCGUGAAGGAUGACUGCCCUACGGGUUGUAAACUUCUUUUAUAAAGGAAUAAAGUGAGCCACGUGUGCCUUUUUGUAUGUACUUUAUGAAUAAGGAUCGGCUAACUCCGUGCCAGCAGCCGCGGUAAUACGGAGGCUCCGAUCUUUAUCCGGAUUUAUUGGGUUUAAAGGGGGCGUAGAUGGGUUGUUAAGUCAGUUGUGAAAGUUUGCGGCUCAACCGUAAAAUUGCAAUUGAUACUGGCAGCCUAGAGUACAGUUGAGGUAGGCGGAAGGCGUGGUGUAGCGGUGAAAUGCUUAGAUAGCACGAAGAACUCCGAUUGCGAAGGCAGCUUACUAAGCUGCCACUGACAUUGAUGCUCGAAAGUGUGGGUAUCAAACAGGAUUAGAUACCCGGGUAGUC